rnacentral:rRNA from 1 species
UGGGGAAUUUUGGACAAUGGGCGAAAGCCUGAUCCAGCAAUGCCGCGUGUGUGAAGAAGGCCUUCGGGUUGUAAAGCACUUUUGUCCGGAAAGAAAUCCUUGGCCCUAAUACAGUCGGGGGAUGACGGUACCGGAAGAAUAAGCACCGGCUAACUACGUGCCAGCAGCCGCGGUAAUACGUAGGGUGCAAGCGUUAAUCGGAAUUACUGGGCGUAAAGCGUGCGCAGGCGGUUUGCUAAGACCGAUGUGAAAUCCCCGGGCUCAACCUGGGAACUGCAUUGGUGACUGGCAGGCUAGAGUAUGGCAGAGGGGGGUAGAAUUCCACGUGUAGCAGUGAAAUGCGUAGAGAUGUGGAGGAAUACCGAUGGCGAAGGCAGCCCCCUGGGCCAAUACUGACGCUCAUGCACGAAAGCGUGGGGAGCAAACAGGAUUAGAUACCCUGGUAGUCCACGCCCUAAACGAUGUCAACUAGUUGUUGGGGAUUCAUUUCCUUAGUAACGUAGCUAACGCGUGAAGUUGACCGCCUGGGGAGUACGGUCGCAAGAUUAAAACUUAAAGGAA